GAUUUCUCGCAAGUUUUGGAGGAAAGAUAAAAAAUGUGAUAAAAUUUACUCAAAAACUCUGCAAAAUAAAACAGUUUUUGUGUAUUUUGUAGAAAAUAUUGGAUAGGACGAAGAGUAUUUUAUAUUCUUGAAAUGGUUGUUACAUGUGAUAUAUUCGAAAGAAGAAAAAUGGCGAGGAAAAUGUUGUAGAUUGAUCAGCCAAAGGAAUAUUGAGUGGACGUUUAUGCCUGCAACUUCGGUAAGUGUUUCAAUCACCUCAAGGACUGUUUCACACACACGCACAUCUCAAAUGAUUAAACAAACGGUAAACAAAGGCUCGUCAUUAGUCUUUCAUAUUUACCUUGACACUUAUAUUCAAUGCCUAGCCAUGUAAUUUACUAUCGUAAUAUAUAAUCUGUAUGCAAAAAGCGCAAAAGAGAAGCAUUAUUAGAAUGGAAAAUUAUAGUGAUUAAAAUGUUUUUAAGACAUAGAAUUAAAAUAUAUCAAAUUGAUUAGACGCUGUCGUUUGUGUUGGGUUUACUCAGAUAUAAGGAAGAUACACAAAUGUGUUGAGUGAAUAUUAUUGUUUUUUAAUCACGAACACUCGUAUAAGCUGAAAAUCCUUUAAUGACUCCUUAUUAAUAACAAGUGCAAUAAAUGCUAGAUUUCGACGCCCACUUUAAAGGAUUUGAAAACAAAACAUCAUUUGAGCAUUAGAAAGUGAUAAGCAGUCUACAGUACAUAGAGUAAUGCUUGUGUCAAUAUCUUAAAACACAGCCAAGUUUUCUGUCGUAAUUUGUCAUCUGUGAACUAAUUUAUUGGAUUUGGAAUUUUAACGAAGGUUAAUGCUACAAUUAGCCAUUAUAGGAAUGAAAAACUAACACUAGGUUCGUCCAAACGUCGUGUAUAGUCGUGCAAACAUCGUGCAUACUUCGGAAGAAAAUUAUUGUGUCAGAUAAAGUAAUAACAAUACUUGCUGCUUGUGGUGACCUAUAUAUUAAGAGUUAAUCCUAUGGUUUAUUUUUAUUCAACGUAAUUAUUCUUGUUGCUAAUAAAGCACUAAAUGAUUUAUAUUUUCUGUUCAAAGAUAGCAACAUGCUGCUAAUCUGCUCAAGACAUUGUAUUCUUUGUACUUAAUCCUUGUUAAACCUUUUGCUAGACACCGGGUCUCAUGCACUGAUCUCUUGUAGUACAUGCAAAUGAUACAUAAUUUGUCCUGGCGGAACUAUUUAACAGCUAUCACUUUUGAUCGGACGCCAGAUAAUUUUUUUACCAGUUUUAAAGUCACUGUAUUGAUCAUAGCGUAAGUUUUUAAGUGAGGGUUUCUUAUGUAGCCUUUAACAUCAUGUGCUGAUGGUCUGGUGCUUAAGACAAUAAUCUCGCAAACUGAAAGAGUUUGGUUCAAAUGUCCUUCAUUCACUUCAUUUCUCGCAGUCGCAGUGAGCGAGUAAUGAUCCCACAAUCACCACAUUAGGCAAUGUCAUAUAUACUAAGCCUUCCACUGAUAUAUUCAAACACGCUGUGUUUAGCAAGUGCUUAUAGUCUAAUGGUAAAAACAAUUGUGAGCCUCCAGAAGUGCCAGACUUUAACAACAAUUUCCUUAGAUUUAACAACGAUUUCCAAAAUCUCCAUUACCCAUAGGUCUAUUUUUUAUGCCAUUGCCUUAGGCAUGUUAAGUCAAUUUCAAUAAAUCUUUGUACAUGUUUCAGACCACCAGGAUCAUUUGAGGAACCCUUAAAAAUUGCAAGGCAAUUUUUGAAGAUUGGUUAGAUGAAAAAUGUUGAUAAUGUAUAAAUGUACUGCCGUGAAAAAUAGUCCAUAUGGUGGCCAGAUUAUCUCUUCGGGCACUCCGGUUUCCCUCCAUUUCAUGUUUGGCAAAAAAACAGUGACCAUUUCUGCGCCAAACAAAGAUCUAUAGUGAAUUCCAUUUCUUCAUUAAACAGUGCUGUUAUGUUUGGCCUCUGGGUUAAAAUCCCUUAUUGUGUUAAAAUGCAGGGGCAACUGCUCUCUGCAGAUCCUUUUACUCACAGGUGCAAGGGGGACAUAAGAUGCACCCAAUUCUAUUCAGAUUGCUUUAGAACUUCUUAAUAAAUUCGCUAGAAAUGGCACCAUCAACUUGACAACUGUCCCAGUGUAGCGUAGAUUUGAAUAUAGAUAUUGAGCAGUCGGCAUGGAUCCUGAAGAUUUCAAGUUUGGGUUGACGAAAGUAUUUUUACACCAGCAAAUGUAAGAUUAUUGUAGCAUUGUUAAGGUGAUUGAUUUAUUGAAAGGUUUCCACUAAAAUAAUUUUCAUUAUUGUAGUUUGCAGUAUUUGAUCAGAUAAUGCAGUCAGAUCCUCAGGAGAGUCUAAAAGCUCUUGUAUCGAAAGUUUCAAGGUGGAUUGUUGUCAAUCGCUGGAAGAAAGCGAUAUGCGGCAAACAAAAUCAAGUUCAGAGCAAAAGCUUGUGUCACGAUUCAGAAGACCGUCAAAAUGUUCCUUGCAUGGAAAAAACACCAGCCAAGAUAUAAAGGAAUGAUUAUGAUUAAAAGACUUCAUUCUCGAUUAGAAACAAUGAACAGUAUUGGUAAGGAAUGAUCCUUACUAGACCUCUAGCCUCUAGGAAGAACAGUUUAGAACUGAUGGAGCUAUCCAGUAUAAAAAAGUUAGUUUAGUUUAGGUUUCUUCCAUGUUUUUACAAUAAUGUCGCAACAUUAUUGAACUUCAAUCUUUUUUCAUUGCACCCAUAUGAGCAUGCACUGCUGGUGAACUGCUCCAACACUUAAUGGUCACUAUAGAUAACGUUUUCCAACACUAGAUCAAAUUCGUAGAUAGUCCUUUUUAACAUAUACGAUUAUUUAUUUCACUUUGUAAUAUUUAUACAUAAAAAUACUAUGAUGCAGUUAGGAUAAUUUUUUCUUAAUCGUCGUAUUUUUUCAAUUUGUGUGGUCUGUAAUAUGUGUGUCUUUACUCUUAGAUUUAUCUUCAGCUUUAUUGACAUAAUUGUUGUAUUUUUUUUCAGUUUUGCUGUAGUGCCCUGGGUGUUUUGCCUUGGGCAGAGAAUAUACAGAAUUUGAUUUGAUUAACAAAAAGCCAUAAACAAUAUGAAAUACUCUGCGUACAAGGUUAUAAAAAGUUUCGAGCUCUGAUUUUGCCUGCAAUGGCCAAUGAUGAUCAUUUUUUACGUUAAAAUAGCGUUAAAGAAGUUUUUACGUUAAAUGAGGUUAAAGAAGCGUUUUACAAUGGUAGGUUUAUUGCUUUUCAUAUCUUAGUUUAGCAAAUUUUUUGUAUGUUCACCAGCCUAUUUUAGACACCUGGUUUAAACCAUAAAAGAUUAAACCUUUGAUAUAACCUUGGAUAUGAAAACAGUUAACCUUGGAUAUGAAAGUAGUUAUUUAACUAAUUUUUUCAUGACAUUUAGGAAACCCAGCAUUGACGAAAUCAAAGAGAAAUGAUAUUUUAUAUCUUCAGGUAAACAUUGUUGGUAAGCAAGGAUGUGGCAAGACUUCCCUUAUUGAUACAUUCGAUGCUGGUAAAUUUCCAUCAAUUACCUCUGUGUUUCGUUACUCUCGUUACAAGCUAAUGGCUGUGAAUAAUAUUCCUGUGGAGUUAGUAACUUAUGAUAUAAUUGCGGUAGAAGAUUAUGAAGAUGUUAAGACAAGAUAUUUAGUGCUAUAAAUGUUCUCAGAAAUAAACAUUUUAUGUUAUUCAGUUGAGUGAAGAGAAAGUUUUGAAAGUCUUUCCAGUUUAUUAGUUGGACUAAAAAAGGAGCUUCGUCCUGGCAAACAAACGCAUGAACUGAAACGAACUACGGGGCCGAAAGAUGGGGAAGGAGAAACGUAAAGGCUUGCUCGCAGCGAAUAAUAGGGUUAUCCUAGGGAAUACUCGUUUUGAAAGGAAAAGACGGAUUGAAACUGAAUACCUAUAUAAUUAUUUGUAUUGUUUUAUAUGAAUGUACUUUAUGCUAGACUUCUCUGUCCUUUUGUUUUACCGAAUACACGCAAAUACAAAACUCGAUUUCGACAAUAUGCAGGAGUAAAAAUUGAAUGGAAUUUGGCUUUUUUGAUUGAGAUAUAAACUGAACACUCUUCUGUUUACCUCCUUCAUUUUCAAGUUUUCCGCCUGUGCAUGAUUUUUGCAUGAAGUCUGGUCGUAUCAAGCGCAUGCGAUAGAUCAUUUUGGACCAGUUUACAAUGGAAAUUGUCAACUCACAAUCGAAAUUGUCAACUCACAAUGGAAAUUGUCAACU